GGACAGCUUUGCACUCGUGAGACAACUCUGGGAUCUGACCCCAGGACCACCUGCACACCUAAGAAUGGAUUAAAUUACAACACAGACACAUCCAUACAAAGCGGCUGCUCUUGGAAGAUGUGUGUGCAUAUACCUGUCCUGUCUCUCCUUUGCACCCUUCAUGGUUUCACACCAGCCCUGCAGCUAUAGAGUCUCCAUUGGACUGUGAGCAUCAGGAAAGCUCUCUGGACCAGCAUGUGCACUUCACCUGAUGCUUAUGGAAGAUACACAGCACACACAGGAAAACACCUCCUCCAGGAUUGCUCUAGGCCUCAGAGGAAUUGGCCAGAGCUUCGAAGCAGUGUGGGCAGGGCCUUCCUGACAUUGUGGCAUGACUUCUGCUUGCUGCCUUCUCCCAUAAAACAGUGAUUCCUCCGUAGAAAGCACUCAGCAGUGGGUGAGUACUUUCUACUAUGCCUGGAUCAGGCCUCAGAGCAAACAUCAAGGCCUGAUGUUUAUGUAUAGACACUUGCUUCACUCUGACUCACUCCUGUCUUCCUCAGGGAGAGCAUGGAGAACAAGCACAUCGUGCAACCCCAAGCCACCCCCACCCCUUACCUCUUGGUGCUGUGGCCAGCUGUCUUCACACAAUGGUUGGUACUCACUUACCCAGAGGCCC
ensembl:lincRNA Gm13387 predicted gene 13387